rnacentral:rRNA from 1 species
GUCUCUUUGUAAAAUAUAAAUAGAGAGUCGGGCCUGCUCGGUGAAUAAGUUUUUAACAGCUGCGGUAUUUUAACUGUACUAAGGUAGCAUAAUAAUUUGCCUUAUAAUUUGAGGCUAGAAUGAAUGGUUUGACGAAGGUUAAUCUGUCUCCAUCUUAUUUUUUAGAAGUUAAUUUUUAAAGUGAAAAAGCUUAAAUCUUUCAAAGGGACGAGAAGACCCUAAUGAGCUUAUAAUUUUAUUAUCAUUAUUUAAAACAUUUAGGUGGUGGUAUAUAAAUUUUAAUUGGGGUGAUUAAGGAAUAAAUUGUGUAUAGUAACUUCCUUAAAUUAGGUAUUUGUAGAUAAAGUAACCAAUGUAAUAUUGCUUAUAGUAUAGUUACCAUAGGGAUAACAGCGUAAUUUGUUUAGAGAGUUCUUAUUGAAAAACGAGAUUGCGACCUCGAUGUUGGAUUAAAGUAACCCUAAGGUGCAGAAGCUUUAGUAGGUAAAUCUGUUCGAUUUUUAAACUUU